UCGAGAAUUUUUCACAAUGGGCGCAAGCCUGAUGGAGCGACGCCGCGUGGGGGAUGAAUGGCUUCGGCCCGUAAACCCCUGUCAUUCGCGAUCAAAUGUUGUUAUUUAAAAGAUGACAGCCUGAUAGUAGCGGAAGAGGAAGGGACGGCUAACUCUGUGCCAGCAGCCGCGGUAAUACAGAGGUCCCAAGCGUUGUUCGGAUUCACUGGGCGUAAAGGGUGCGUAGGUGGUGAGGUAAGUCGGAUGUGAAAUCUCGGAGCUUAACUCCGAAAUGGCAUUGGAAACUGCCUUGCUAGAGGUUCGGAGGGGGGACUGGAAUACUUGGUGUAGCAGUGAAAUGCGUAGAUAUCAAGUGGAACACCAGUGGCGAAGGCGAGUCCCUGGACGAAACCUGACACUGAGGCACGAAAGCUAGGGGAGCAAACAGG
rnacentral:rRNA from 1 species